rnacentral:rRNA from 1 species
ACGCUGGCGGCAGGCCUAACACAUGCAAGUCGAGCGGUAGCACGGGAGAGCUUGCUCUCUGGGUGACGAGCGGCGGACGGGUGAGUAAUGUCUGGGAAACUGCCUGAUGGAGGGGGAUAACUACUGGAAACGGUAGCUAAUACCGCAUGACCUCGCAAGAGCAAAGUGGGGGACCUUCGGGCCUCACGCCAUCGGAUGUGCCCAGAUGGGAUUAGCUAGUAGGUGGGGUAAUGGCUCACCUAGGCGACGAUCCCUAGCUGGUCUGAGAGGAUGACCAGCCACACUGGAACUGAGACACGGUCCAGACUCCUACGGGAGGCAGCAGUGGGGAAUAUUGCACAAUGGGCGCAAGCCUGAUGCAGCCAUGCCGCGUGUGUGAAGAAGGCCUUAGGGUUGUAAAGCACUUUCAGCGAGGAGGAAGGCGUUGUAGUUAAUAGCUGCAACGAUUGACGUUACUCGCAGAAGAAGCACCGGCUAACUCCGUGCCAGCAGCCGCGGUAAUACGGAGGGUGCAAGCGUUAAUCGGAAUUACUGGGCGUAAAGCGCACGCAGGCGGUUUGUUAAGUCAGAUGUGAAAUCCCCGAGCUUAACUUGGGAACUGCAUUUGAAACUGGCAAGCUAGAGUCUUGUAGAGGGGGGUAGAAUUCCAGGUGUAGCGGUGAAAUGCGUAGAGAUCUGGAGGAAUACCGGUGGCGAAGGCGGCCCCCUGGACAAAGACUGACGCUCAAGUGCGAAAGCGUGGGGAGCAAAC